CAAGAGGAGACUCGCUUUGGCUAAAACGGGAGAUGGCGAGUAAGAAUAGAAAAGUUGGUAGGAGUGUCGCUCUUUCAAGGAUAAAUGGACGAAUGAAUUCUUCUUUGUUAGAAGUGAAAGGCAAGUCCGUGUGCCUGGUUUGUGGGGACGCUUCGGCAGUAAUGAAAACUCAAACCUUGAGCGUCAUUAUAGCGCGAAACAUGCAAAACUGUAUGCUUUGAAAGGACAAGUGCGCGUGGAUAAAGUUGCCAAGCAGUUUUAUCCAAACCGCGAGCAGACCAGGACAACGUGACGCAGGCUAGCUUCAUCGUGGCGAGUGAGCUAAUUGCUAAGAAUUUGAAACCUCAUGCCAAAGAUGAAUUUGUGGAGCACCUAGCCAGAAGAAAAAAAAAUCGAGCUGUUCCAAAGUGUCAGUUUAUCUCAAGAGAACCGUCUCAGACUGACAUGGCACAUUGUGGAAUCAUUGAGGGAUUCUGCAAGAGAUUUCCAGUUUUUCUUUUCAAAACUGACUCUUGCAAAGACUCGGCUCCGUUCAAGACUGACUGACCCAAACCUGGACGACCAGCUGAGAGUGGCAACGGCAUCACUGCCACCUGACAUCAGACGUCUCACCAAGGAGAAGCAACUCCAGCCAUCGCAUUAGGUCACACUGAUAUGAUAAUGAUGCUGAUUGACUCUGAUGGCCUUUCGGAUUGGGGGACCCUGGGAAAGGAGUCAGCUGACAGGACGGGGAGGUCUGUAGCAGGCCGUCUCUGUGGGCUACGGGUUGGCCAGAUGCCCGCUGCACAUCCAUUUCACCUUCGUGCCGCUCGCUUUCCUCCUCUCAUAAAACCAAACAAUCCCAACAGCGACCAGGACGGAAAAAGAAGUUUGCUGAGUGAUGGCGACGGGACAGCCGACAACUUCUCCUUCUUCUUCUUCUUCUUCUUCUUCUGAGGAAUGCAGCCCAGGCGCUCCCCGUCUCCAACAAUACACUGACUUGACUGUCCGUCUGCGCGCUCGACAGGCUCAGUGUGUUUUGACGGAACAACAGCGCUCUCCUCUUCUUCCAAAUCUGCUCCUCCUCCUCCACCUCCUCCUCCUCCACCACCACCUCAGUAUACAGCAUCCAGGACGCACCGCGGUUUGGUUCGUCUCGACUCCCCCUUGCAAAACUUCUCUUAUCCCGUAACGCGCGCUUAAGUUUGCGCGUAAAAACCCCACAAAACUGCGGCGAGCACCAGAUGCACAACUUUAUUUAUUUAUUUAUUUUUUUAUAAGUCAACACGCACGUUUCCGCUUAAUUUUGUUCCCCUGCAAAUCUAGAAAUUCGAGUUUGGGAAUUUAAUCGCGAGAAUCCCUCAAGAGUAAGAGUUGGAAAACGAGUUAAGUCUUUGGCAUUUAAAAAAAAUGUCAGAGAAAAACGGUAUUAGAGGUCAAAACUCUGACAUGGCAGGCUUAAAGGUGCACUAUGUAGUUUUGGGUAAGACACUGACUGACUGAUUUUUUUAUGUCUUAAACUAAAUAAACAAAUUUAAAGGACAACGCAGUCUCAUACUGUCCUACUUUGUUUCUAUGUGGCGGACCCUGCCACCCUUUAAGCCUCAAACAACAGUUGAUUUGGGAGCAGUUUGUAUUAUUAUCUUCAUUAUCUCAAUAAUAUUGUAAACACUAAAAUGCUGAGUUUCAAUUUCAUCUCCAAAACUACGUAGUGCCCCUUUAAAAACACAGCGGGAGUUAAUUUCCAGAAGAGUGAAAGUUUCCCUGCUGAACGACCACGCAACUCCAUGGGAGCGCCGUGACCGGGUGGAGGUAUGAGAGGAAUGUCACGCAGAGAAACACAACAUUCUCCAGAAGAUGAUUAAAAACGCGGGACGUGCAUGCAUCCCUGCGUUUUUGUGUGUUUUUGUGGUUUUACAGCGCAGACAAUCAGAGCGAUUAUGUGGUCGAGUAGGACCGGAGUGCCCCUCGGUCACGGUUAGUUUCUGUUGCCAGAGUCACGCCCAAGAUAAGCCCCCCCACCCCCACCCCCAGC